rnacentral:rRNA from 1 species
GAUGAACGCUGGCGGCGUGCCUAAUACAUGCAAGUCGAGCGAACAGACGAGGAGCUUGCUCCUCUGACGUUAGCGGCGGACGGGUGAGUAACACGUGGAUAACCUACCUAUAAGACUGGGAUAACUUCGGGAAACCGGAGCUAAUACCGGAUAAUAUAUUGAACCGCAUGGUUCAAUAGUGAAAGACGGUUUUGCUGUCACUUAUAGAUGGAUCCGCGCCGCAUUAGCUAGUUGGUAAGGUAACGGCUUACCAAGGCAACGAUGCGUAGCCGACCUGAGAGGGUGAUCGGCCACACUGGAACUGAGACACGGUCCAGACUCCUACGGGAGGCAGCAGUAGGGAAUCUUCCGCAAUGGGCGAAAGCCUGACGGAGCAACGCCGCGUGAGUGAUGAAGGUCUUCGGAUCGUAAAACUCUGUUAUUAGGGAAGAGCAAAUGUGUAAGUAACUAUGCACGUCUUGACGGUACCUAAUCAGAAAGCCGCGGCUAACUACGUG